GUGUUCGGAUCGCGGCGAUGUGGGCGGUUCGCUGCCCGCGACGUCGCGAGAAGUCCAUUGAACCUUAUCAUUUAGAGGAAGGAGAAGUCGUAACAAGGUUUCCGUAGGUGAACCUGCGGAAGGAUCAUUGUCGUAACCUGCGAAAGCAAAGCAACUCGCGAACACGUAGCUAACAAUCGGGGAUCCAAGUGUGUCUCCCCCGGGGGACGCCCUUUCUUCCCAACGUCGGGACGGCUCGUUGCGAGUUAACGACCUCCGGGCCUUCCCGAUGCAACAAAAAACCGGCGCGAAAUGCGCCAAGGAACAUGAAAGAGAGUGCGCUCUUCCGGGGUCAGCUCGCGCUGUGCUCGGACGGGCGUCGUCUUCUUGAUGAGUUUAUAAUGACUCUCGGCAACGGAUAUCUCGGCUCUUACAUCGAUGAAGAACGUAGCAAAAUGCGAUACUUGGUGUGAAUUGCAGAAUCCCGUGAACCAUCGAGUCUUUGAACGCAAGUUGCGCCCGAAUCCAUCUGGUCGAGGGCACGUCUGCCUGGGUGUCACGUACACGCGUCUCCCGCGAACCUUCCCCUUCGAGGAUGAAGGGUCUCGUGGGAGCAGAUAUUGGUAUCCCGUGCCCGUUUCGCGCGGUUUGCCUAAAAACGGAGAGCCUGUGACGAAACGUCACGCCUAGUGGUGGUUAACAAGGCCUAACGGCCGACCAGUUCGUGGCGUGCGCGUCUGUCGCAAGGAAGUCUCAAACGACACCUUGAACGUUCCCUAUCGGGGCGUGCUCAAUCGCGACCCCAGGUCAGGCGGGACUACCCGCUGAAUUUAACCAUAUCAAUAAGCGGAGGAAGAGAAACUUACAAGGAUUCCCUUAGUAACG
rnacentral:rRNA from 1 species